GACGAACGCUGGCGGCGUGCUUAACACAUGCAAGUCGAACGGAAAGGCCCUGCUUUUGUGGGGUGCUCGAGUGGCGAACGGGUGAGUAACACGUGAGUAACCUGCCCUUGACUUUGGGAUAACUUCAGGAAACUGGGGCUAAUACCGGAUAGGAGCUCCUGCUGCAUGGUGGGGGUUGGAAAGUUUCGGCGGUUGGGGAUGGACUCGCGGCUUAUCAGCUUGUUGGUGGGGUAGUGGCUUACCAAGGCUUUGACGGGUAGCCGGCCUGAGAGGGUGACCGGCCACAUUGGGCCUGCGAUACGGCCCAGACUCCUACGGGACGCAGCAGUGGGGAAUAUUGCACAAUGGGCGGAAGCCUGAUGCAGCAACGCCGCGUGCGGGAUGACGGCCUUCGGGUUGUAAACCGCUUUCGCCUGUGACGAAGCGUGAGUGACGGUAAUGGGUAAAGAAGCACCGGCUAACUACGUG
rnacentral:rRNA from 1 species